AAAGGCUUGGUCCUGACUUUUCUAUCGGCUCCAGCUAAAUUUACACAUGCAAGUAUCCGCACCCCUGUGAGAAUGCCCCACAGUUCCCCUUCCCGGGAACAAGGAGCUGGUAUCAGGCACAUUUUAAUUAUCGCCCACGACACCUUGCUCAGCCACACCCCCAAGGGAAUUCAGCAGUGAUAAACAUUAAGCUAUAAGUGAAAACUUGACUUAGUUACAGCUAUAAGGGCCGGUAAAACUCGUGCCAGCCACCGCGGUUAUACGAGAGGCCCAAGUUGAUAGACAUCGGCGUAAAGAGUGGUUAAGUAAUCCCCCCACUAAAGCCGAACGCCUCCAAGACUGUAAUACGUGUUCGGAGGUAUGAAGCCCAACUACGAAAGUGGCUUUAAAAAAACUGACCCCACGAAAGCUGAGAAACAAACUGGGAUUAGAUACCCCACUAUGCUCAGCCCUAAACUUUGAUAGUUCGAUUACACUCGCUAUCCGCCCGGGUACUACGAGCUCCGGCUUAAAACCCAAAGGACUUGGCGGUGCUUAAGAUCCACCUAGAGGAGCCUGUUCUAGAACCGAUACUCCCCGUUAAACCUCACCCUUUCUUGUUCUUACCGCCUAUAUACCGCCGUCGUCAGCUUACCCUGUGAAGGACUAGUAGUAAGCAAAAUUGGUACGGCCCAAAACGCCGGGUCGAGGUGUAGCGUAUGAAAGGGGAAGAAAUGGGCUACAUUUCCUAAACAGGAAAUACGAACAAUAAACUGAAAUGUAUAUUAGAAGGAGGAUUUAGCAGUAAAUGAAAAAUAGAGUGUUUCAUUGAAACCGGCCCUAAAGCGCGCACACACCGCCCGUCACUCUCCCCAAGAUACAGUUUUCUUAUAUUUAAUUACCCAAGUAAAUACAAGGGGAGGCAAGUCGUAACAUGGUAAGUGUACCGGAAGGUGCACUUGGA
rnacentral:ncRNA from 1 species